rnacentral:lncRNA from 1 species
UGCUUUUCUUAUACCAUAGACACCUACAGAUCUUAGAAGGAAAGCACACUGAGGGAUUCAGCCAAGAUCUUGCCCUAGAUCUCGUCUCCUUCACAGCAAGGACUGGCAACAGCAGUGACUGCAGGGCCACUUGACUGUGAUCUUAGUGUCAGCCACACAAGAUCUGAAGAGCACCCCACCAGAAGAAACACCUCUCUUUUCUUGAGAAUCUUGAACUUUGUGUUGGAGAGGACAAAAUGAAGAGACAAUGAUCAGGAUAGGAGGAAAGCAUGAAUCUUGAUUGAAAGUGAAGUAGGUAAGAUUUUUGCCCUCACUUAUAUCACCUUACUGCUCCCCUGUUCUUCUGCUUUCAGACCUUGAGCAGUAAUCUGAAAUAAUGUCCCAGGUAAUUUUUUUCCUCCUUUUGUUUUUCUAUCCAUAAAUUUUCUAUAAAAUUUAUACAAG